UAAAGACUGAUGUGUACUGUUAUUUGUGCUGACCUCUAGAGCAUGACAUUGUAGUUGGCCUCCCCUGUUCUCUGCCACUUGUCCCUACUAUGAAUUAUAAUAAUGAUCCUUGUUUUUACAGGAUAAUAUGUGCUGUCUCUGUCAGGUCUGAUGAAAUCAUUGUAGGUGCAUGCAGAGGGUAAUGCCAAUUCUGUCUGCAGCAAAGAAGAAAACAGUAGCCAAGAUGCAAACAGCAUAGCUGCUGGACUGCUGGUAAUAAGAGAUGGUCACCUAGCAGAUGAAACGUCUUCUGGCUGCCUCAUUACAUCCCCAAUAGAAGAUGGCUCUUUAUAGCACCGAACUGGUUACAAGGCUGUAUGGUCAUGGCUCCAAGUUGCUCCAUAAUGCCAUUCCACUCGUUAUAAAGAAAACCCGAGCAGCAAAGUCUCUAAGCCACGGUUGCUGAUUACAGCAACAAAAAAAAGCACUGUAUUUGUUUCAGGUUGUUAGUUAGCAAGCAGCUUUGGACCCUUUCUACUGCACAGUCAAUCAUGUGACAGGUGUGAUGACUCAGCUUCCUUCUGUUGCAUUGCCAAAGAACAAAAAAGUGAGACACAUUGUACUGUAUGUCUGUCCAACAACUUCCAUUAAUUAUGUAUUCCUGUUAAUACUAAGCAAUUUUGACUACAUUCUCUGUUUGUUUUAGAUUUUUAUGAUGUAUCAUAAAGAUUGUGUAAAGCAAUUAUACCUUGGAAAUUAGUAUGUUUCAUAAGUGAUUCUCUCUCGUCCAUGACACCACAAUGACUCAGAGUAUAAAAAAUCCAUUUCAUAUUGUUAAAACGAUUAUGUCUCUGCUUCAAAAUCAUUGACUUUUUUUGUGCUGCAGCUCCAUUUGAACUCAGGUGUCUGCUACCACUGAAGAAAGACCCAGAUGAUGUCAAUAACAAAACAGCCAAUAACAAACUGAGGUGCUAGGCCUGAAUGACAUAAUCAAUGUACUAGCAUGGUGCUUGGAUUAGAAGCGAGCUUGAAAGGAGAAAAACAUCUGUUUCUUUCCCAACUUUUAAUGUUACACAGCUAGUUAGAAACAACCUAAAGGAUGAUUUGGGGACCCCAAAAUGAUAAGAGUUGAAAAAAUACUGAAAAUGGUGUCCAGAUUCUAGGUCUCAAUCAAGGUUUUGUUUUACUAACACCUCAAUGACAGUUCAGUGGAGAAACAUGCCACUGAUAUCCGUGAUCUGCUAUCUCACAAGAGAUCAUUGCUGGUGCAGUGAUGAAAGCAAAAUGUAAUUCACCUUUAAGAAAUGUGAGAGAACAAAUAUCUAGUCCCAAAUCAUGAAUAGGAAAGCAGUCAGUUUCAUAUAGUGUACUGUAUGUCGCACUGUGAAUUGGAAAACCAGAAAACAAUUCCCUUCUUAUGAAUAAAUAAGCAUUUGUAGGAAAGUGAAAACUAAGCAAAUAAUGAACUGAUUGCAAUUUCUUUAUGAACACAUAACAGGCCUGAGGUAAGCCAUAUCUUUAAAAUUAAAAAUAACAUUGUUUGUAUAAAUAUGAAUAAGCCCGGGGACACAAACAAAGAGAUUCAAACUGCUUGUUUAAUAGUGUACACAUUUUCUUUAUUGACUUUUGGUUAGAUAAAAGAAACCAGUAUUAUUUUUUUGGGAGACGUGUUUGAAACGACUCACAAUUUCAAAAAAUGAAGAGAUCUAAAAAUAGUGAAUCCUGAUUCAGAGACAGGGUUAAUACAUAAAACCCUGUCUCUAUUACUGCAGUAUUUUGCCAUCACAUAUGAUUCAUAAAAAUUACAUGAAUGUCUUGUAGUAGACAGCAGAUAUCAUGAGUUAAUGCUGGAAUGCUUACGCAACCAGCUGUUUCCCCAGAUGAUUGACAUGCCUUACAGCCAGUUACAAGCUUAGAUCCGAAGACUCCGCUCAGGUGACGUGACCUUGUAAGUACAAUACUGCCAGCUUAAAAUUCAUAAACCUGCUUUUAUGGACCCCAUUCUAUUGGAUUUGUAUUAUCUUUAGUGAAGUUAAUGAGGGGGUCAAUUCAUCAGCAAGAUCAACACAGUUAAAUAGAGGCAGUAUUAAGAUCCACCAGGGUUAUGGAAACUCAUUGGGCAAAAUGUAACAGUUGCCUUUACUUUGAUGUAUUGUUGUGCAUUAUGUGAUUUUCAC